UAACUCACAUGAACUUUAGUAGAACUCAUGAGAAUGAUUAUAUUUCAUGUUUUCUUGAAACUAAUUAAUUCACUUGGACAAUGGGCUAAAGCCCGAUCCAGCAAUAUCGCGUGAGUGAAGAAGGGCAUGCCGCUUGUAAAGCUCUUUCGUCGACUGCGCGAUCAUGACAUGAAUCGAGGAAGAAGCCUCGGCUAACUCCGUGCCAGCAACCGCGGUAAGACAGGGGGGGGGGAAGUGUUCUUCAGAAUGACUGGGCGUAGAGGGCACGUAGGUGGUGAAUCGGGUUGAAAGUGAAAGCCGUCAAAAACUGGCGGAAUGCUCUCGAAACCAAUUCACUUGAGUGAGACAGAGGAGAGUGGAAAUUUCGGGGUGUAGGGGGUGAAAAUCCGGAGAUCUACGAAGGAACGCCAAAGCGAAGGCAGCUCUCUGGGUCCCUACCGACGCUGAGGUGUGAAAGCAUGAGGAGCGAACAUGAUUAGAUACCAUGGUAGUUCAUGCCGUAAAACGAUGAGUGUUCGCCCUUGGUCUACGCGGAUCAGGGGCCCAGCUAACGCGUGAAACACUCCGCCUGGGGAGUACAGUCGCAAGACCGAAACUCAAAGGAAUUGACGGGAGCCUGCACGAGGUUAUAUUUAAGGACUCCAGUGUGAAUUCUAAUAUAUUUU
rnacentral:ncRNA from 1 species